AUUGAACGCUGGCGGCAGGCCUAACACAUGCAAGUCGAGCGGUUGAAGGGAGCUUGCUCCUGGAUUCAGCGGCGGACGGGUGAGUAAUGCCUAUGAAUCUCCUUCGUAGUGGGGGAUGACGACCGGAGACGGGCGCUAAUACCGCAUCAGUCCUGAGGGAGAAAGUGGGGGAUCUUCGGACCGCACGCACUCAGAUGCGCCUAGGUCGGAUUAGCUAGUUGGUGGGGUAAAGGCCUACCAAGGCGACGCUCCGUAACUGGUCUGAGAGGAUGAUCAGUCACACUGGAACUGAGACACGGUCCAGACUCCUACGGGAGGCAGCAGUGGGGAAUAUUGGACAAUGGGCGAAAGCCUGAUCCAGCCAUGCCGCGUGUGUGAAGAAGGUCUUCGGAUUGUAAAGCACUUUAAGUUGGGAGGAAGGGCAGUAAGUUAAUACCUUGCUGUUUUGACGUUACCAACAGAAUAAGCACCGGCUAACUUCGUG
rnacentral:rRNA from 1 species